UAUUUUCAGUAAUUAUUCUUGUUAUUACUUGUUCUUUCAUACUGCUUAGUUAUUUACUAUUUCUACCUUUAUGAACCUAAUAGUGUAGACUGUCAGCAUUGUGGACCGUACGACUAUACCCAUUGAAGAUUAUUGAUUAUAGUUCUCACACCCUUUUUGUUGCUAUUUUUUAUUUCAAAGCCCUCAGUAUCGGUGACUGAUCAAGGUAAGGGGAUUGUGGAUAGCUAAUAUGUCCUACCCAUCUUGUGUGUAGCUGGACCACCCAUCAGUGUAUAUUAUAGCUGUACAGAGUUUUGAGAUCUGGUAGGGCUAGUGAUGUUGUAUUAUUUUGAGGAUUGGUGUUGUAUAAUUGUAUAUUUACAGUGUUGCUGUAGAUAUUAUUCCUAUUUUGAUAU
rnacentral:lncRNA from 1 species